UACGUAGGGGGCUAGCGUUGUCCGGAAUCAUUGGGCGUAAAGCGCGCGUAGGCGGUCAGGUAAGUCCGGUGUGAAAGUCAAAGGCUCAACCUUUGAAUGCCGCUGGAUACUGCCUGACUUGAGUCCGGAAGGGGCGAGUGGAAUUCCUGGUGUAGCGGUGAAAUGCGCAGAUAUCAGGAGGAACACCAAUGGCGAAGGCAGCUCGCUGGAACGGUACUGACGCUGAGGUGCGAAAGCGUGGGGAGCGAACAGG
rnacentral:rRNA from 1 species